UCCAGGCCCCGCCCCCAGCUCGCGGGCUCCAGCCACCAGCCCCCCUCCCCUCUUUCCCGUCACGUGACGGCGCGCGGAGGCGGCCGCGGAGACGCCUCCCCGGCGGGCCGUGAGGGAGUCGCGCGGGAACAACUGUCAACACCUAGUUCUGCCAGAGCCUUAUCGCAUCCGAAUUGCCUCCGCACACCCGAGGGCGGCUUCGGGAUUCGAGCCCACCGCCGCCCGCCGGUGAUCUACUGAGGUGUGGUCUGGACCGGUCUUGCAGGGCCCUGCCUAACCUGAGAAGACUGCACAAUAGAGCUCACUGGUCCGAGGAACUCUCCCCGCCUACCCCUGGUGAUGAGAGGAAAAGAAUAGAAAUGCCAAUCGCCAGAGGAAAGAAAGUAACAAUACAGAAAUGAAGGAAGUAGAAAAGCAGAAAGAUCAUAAUCAAACCCUGCUAACCAUGCAAGCACAUGAAAAAGUUUGCUCAGUUUUGAAUGAUAUUCACAUUGGAAACAAACAGCCAGGAUUACGCAAAUUAUUGUCUGACUACCUAUAACUCUUAUCAACCACACUCAAAAAAAAAAAAAGUCAAUGCAAGUUCAUGAAAGUGAAGAUAUUAUGGGACAACAAAUAUUGCUCGUGAUGACAAACUUCUAAUGAGAUACAUUAAACUUUUUCAUUAAAUGAAUUCACCAUGGAUUUCCAGUGCUCAACUGAGAUAUGUUCCCAUUUUACAGAUGAGGAGACUUGAGGCCAAGAGUGAUCAAGUAACUUGUCCAAGCUCAUACAGGAGUGGAAGCCUGAUGUGGGAGCAUUUAAUAUCCUCUCAAGCAGGAUACCACACUGCCUGUCCAGCAUAGCUUGCCUCCAGUCAAGUGCUUGCAGACCCAUCUGAAGAAAGACCAAUAACACACUGUUGGGGGAUAGAAGGCAGGUACAGCAAAAAGGUUGAAAAAGAAAGGGAACAAAAAUGCUUAAGGAUUUGCCUGUCCGAGAGAGGGAUGUCCUGACCCACAAACACAACUGCCUGCCUGUGAGGAGGCACAUCCCUGGGGUGGGGGCCAGGUGGCAAAAACGGAAAAAGAGAGAUGGCUCGGUGCCCUGUGGGACCAUCCAGCUAACUCCCCAGCUGAGCCUGAUUCUAAAACCACCCAUUCCUUUGCUUUCUAGUCUCCAAAUAUACUAAAAUGGCUUCAAAAUUACCCUACCCCACUCAGCACCUAGACACUCUCUAGGUUGUUGUGGAUUGUUCAAUACUACAAGGGCUGAUCUUUACUCUUCUUUAUUCGUUUUUCCUUUUUAAAAACUUUUCUUUCUUUUUUCUUUUUUGUUCUCUCCUUAUAAUUUAAUGAACAAAAGCAGUUCAAUGCUAAUUUUACAACAUAUUAAAGUUCAAAAAUAACGAAAGAGUUAACUUGUUCACAUUUCCACUUCAGGCCACCAGAGAGGGAUGUUGAUGGUUUUGUAUCAUCAGUCCCUUUUGUCACUAGCUGAGGGUCAGGAUCUCCAUCAUUUUCUCUCGAAUGAAACCUUAUUGUAUCUUUCUGGGAGUCACUCUCGCUUGGCGGAAGUUCUGGAAUCAGACAAUCCUCGGUUCAAAUACUGGCCUACAAGUUUCUUACUUCUCUCAGCCUGAUUCCUUAUCUGUGAAAUCAGAACCAAAAUAUCUUCCUUGGGGGCACCUGGCUGGCUCAGCUUGUAGAGCAUGUGACUCUUGAUCUCGAGGUCAUGAGUUCAAGCCCCACUAAUGGCGUGGACCCUACUUAAAAAAAAAAAAAAAAAAGUUAGGGGCUCCUGGGUCGCUGAGUCAGUUAAGUGACUGACUUUGGCUCAGGUCAUGAUCUUGUGGUUAAUGAGUUCGAGGCCCAUGUCCGGCUCUGUGCUGACAGCUCAGAGCCUGGAGUCUGCUUUGGAUUCUGUGCCUCCCUCUUUCUCUGUCUCUUUCCCUUUCUCAAAAAUAAAUAAACAUUAAAAAAAAUUUUUUUAAAUGCUUAAAAAAAGUUAACAAAAUCUUCCGUGUUGAGAUUUGUAUCAGAGAUCAUGAACAUAAAGAACCUGACACAAGUAAUAAAAUAUAAACUACCAAAGGAAAACAAGCAUUUUUCUCUUUUUCCUCCACAUUAAAGCAUAACAUGAAAUGAUUCUUCCUGUGAUUGCACAUGGAAUUAAUUUGCACAUUUCAGUUCCUGAACCAUACGUGCUUUCUACUGGAGAUUAUACAUACUUUAAAAAAUUUUUGUUCAGUGCCUGUUGCAAGAUAUUUCUCUUAAAUAUGUUUUAAAUUGAUAUUCUAUUUUCUUUUGUACCUGAAUUUUCUAAAAGCAAGACUUUUGUAAAAAUAAGAUCAUUUUUGGUCUGAAUUUUAAUUUUAUCAUGUAACACUGUGCUAGUAUAAUCCAUUUAUAUUUAGACUGAAAAACUCCACUAUUGUUUUCUCCCAGAAUGAAGGCAGAUUAGUGAAAAUAAUAUUAUAUUGGGAGCAAUAGUAUUCUGAUGCUCCAUGCUGACUUUAGUGCCUUCCUUAUAUAUUUUUUUAUUGUAAAUGCUCGACACUUAGGAUGCAGGGCAAUGGACACUCUUAAACAUUCUGAUGGAAGUAUUAACUGAAGCAAUCUUCUUGGGAGCUACUUGCCUUAAGAGAGUUCUUUAAAAGUUUAU